rnacentral:miRNA from 1 species
CAUGAUGACUAUGCAGUGACA